ensembl:lncRNA
CAGCUUUUGUGCUUGUCAGGUCUUUGAUUGAAAGACUGAAGCUCUGGUUUGCACACUACACCUCAUGUCCUACUCUUAGUCCUAUUUGUAACCCUUGAAGCCUGGCUUUACAUCAUUCAGGAAGGAAGAAAUCAAGAAAACAUGUUGUUUGAUGUGCAUGUACAAAUCACUGUAUUACCUCACUAUCGUGCUUCUUUCCCUCAAACGGUUUCAAGGUGCAAAAAGCAUAUAGGUUUGCAUAUUAGGGAAGCAUAUUAGGGAACAAGUAUUGGGUCAGCCAUUCUGCUCUGCAACACAGCUUUUCGUUAUGACUGCCUUGUUCUGGGUAGUGUGACAGUCUCUGUUGUAAACAUAAUGGAAAGGGCUGCAGCUUUUCCUAGAACAGCAAUUGCUCAGACCUAGCAUUCUGUGCUGGUGUGAGAGUUCACACUAGGCCCAGCCUUGACAACACUUAAGCAGUGCUGUCAUCUGUGCUUCCCUUGGUUGUAUUCUGCCUGCCUUGGGUUCAUCUUAAGCAAGGUCUUUGUCUGGCUACAGUGUAAAAAGUAGAAUAAAAAUUGCUGAUUGUGGAGAGACAAGUGAUGUCUUUAUGAAAAAAAAAAAAAGUAAAAAAAAAAACAAAAGGCUGGUGAGAGGUUGUGUAGGGAGUUGUCUGACUUACGUACUUGUAACUUGGAUCUCAUAGCUUAAUGCAUAUAUACCUAAAAUGGGCAAAAAGUGCUUAUAUUGGCCACAGAAUAGGACUGUAAGCAACGACUGGCUUGGUCACAGGAGUGGGGAGAUAUCCGGGCUUUUGCAUUGCCCUUUGCUCCUCCCUGUUUGGCUUUGCAUGAGCUUUUAGGGAAAAAAGUCCAGCAGGGGCUGAGCUGUAAACACAGUCAGCCACAACUGCAAAUCUGUGGUGCUCUGCUGAAGGUCCUCAGACUGGACCAAUUCACAGCAGCAGGAGGAUCAAGCUUUCCAAAUCUGUGAUAGGACUGAAGCCUGCAUCCAGCCCUGUGGAGGAUGAGCCAUCUCCACUUUUUUUUUUAUCUCUGAAGAUGUCCUGGGGCAGAGCUGGAGGCCAAGGCCCACCGGAGCCUGCUCGCAUCACCAUGCCUGCUGAGCAGGAGACCGGGCCGCGCUGCUCCCACUAACCCCUGGCCACAGGCCCACUGGCUUCUGCGAUGGCCUCAGCAACAUCUGCUUCAUCCAUUAGCAUAGCACUCCUCUCCUGGCCUCUGGCCUGAGCCUUUGCUGCCAUUGAUUAGCAGCAAUUUCCUUCCCAAACCCGAAUGUUCGCCGGACGCCAGAUUGGAUUGCAGUCUGCCUGCCGUUGCAAAGCCACAGUGUGGGUGUGCAUGCACAGGAGUAUAAAUAGCACUGACUUGUUGCCCUCUGAGACGUUUCAGGAACUCUUCUGCUCUCGCUGAAGUUCGGAUUGCCUUCAGAUAUCUUCCCUUUGAGCUCAUGAGUAUAAACUUAUUUCGUGCCUCACCAGCUUUGACUCCUAAACCACGUUCUCGUGUUUGCAUGUUUCUCUCGUUCAACUUCAGCAGUUACAGCACCAGCCCCAAGAUGAAGAACAGUGACAUGAAACUGCAUCUGAGGCUGCAGUGCAGUGGCCCAAGCUGCCUCCGUUGUGUCAUUUCCUCCUCUUCUCCUGGUUGUCAGGAUUUGCAGUAGGUAAGCUGGUAGGAUGCAAAGUUCAGCUCUUGUGCUGGAUGGACACACUGGGUUUGUCUAACACAGCAUGUGGCUGUAUUACAGUGUUUCCAAAGGAGGUGACUCAGAAGCCGUACCUCCAUUUAGCAGCGCAUCAUGACAUGGAAGUGAACCAAAGCACUUAAGAACAUGAAGAAGAAGUGUAUAGCAAAGGAGGGAGGAUGGGGCUUAGGAUUGGAAAAUAAUUUGGGUCAGAAGAGCUGUCUGGAGGCCUCUAGUCCAGCCUUUGCUUGAUACCAGGCCGCCUGUGAAGCUGUAUCAUACCAAUGCCACUACGUUCUGCCUGCUAAUUGAAGUUGGGUGGGAUGGCUCUUCUGGUACAUUACAAUGCUGAUUUUGAAGACCUGCUUAGAUAGGCCUGUGACCUCCAGGAUCAUUCUGAUUACAAAUGUGUCCACCACAAAGCUGCAGAAAGCUUGUGAUGAGGAAGGGAAAAAUGUUCUUGCAUGUCAAUGUCCUUCCAGGAAAAAAAAAUGGAAACUGUAGUGUUUGGCUCACACAGGAGAGCAAACACAACAUCUCCCUGAGUGUCUAAAUUGCCAUCUGCAAUAGAGAGACAGGGUAAAGCUUGUUUACCAUGGCAGGCUUGAGGGUGAUGCAAUCUGUCAGAAUUAUAAAAUAUUCUUGGAACUGCUAAAUAUUAUAGAUGCUAAUUCCACUUCAGAAAGUAUCCUGGAGCAGAUGAAAUCUACUGAACAUCAACUUGACACAAAGUGAAAUGGCAUCAAUGUAGGAAUUAGCUCCUGCUUGGUCUCAGUUUCCUGGGACUUGCUCAAGGAUGAUUUACCAGUUGCUCCUAACUCUGUAAUCCAGUAAGGAAGGCUGCGCUGGUGAAAAAGACAAGUUGACAUAGAAGGGAAGUAAAACCCACUACUUAAAGCACAUGAAGCCUCACAACAGUCUGCAAGAGAUGGAAAUAGCAAAUGGAGAGCCAUGGAUGUGAAUGAGAUGUUAGAAGUUGUUAAUAACAAGGAAGCUAAAGGAAACAACAAGAAAUUUUUGGCCAGUGGCAUUAAAAACUGAAGAUAAAAGCCACCGUCCCCCCUGCUGCUUUCAGUCCUCCAUUGUCACCAUCUGAAAACCUGAGUCUUCAGGUUUGCAGGUGGAAGAGGCCAAGAGAGCUGCUCUCACGGAAGUGACCAUCAUGCUUUAUCCAGCCUACACAAGCCUACAAGUUACAUGAGACCACAUCCUGAAGCAGGCCGAGCCCUCCCAGCUUCAAGCACUUCCAUAUCACACAGAACACCAUUUCGUUGAGGAAAAACCCUCAACAGCACUUGAAAAGAAAGAAAAAAGAAAAUGACUUUAUUAUUUCCAUUGUGGUGGAAAGCAUUUGGUGUCUUCUUAAGGUGUGAGAGUUUGUGCGUCUGUGGCCAACUGCUCAAGUACUCCGAGCCCUUAUUCCUGCAUAUAAGCUGAUGUCCUGCUUAGAGUGGAGAUUUACAACCUGCUCACCAUGGGGGUUGCAUCAGUAAGACAUGUGUUCUCCUCGUUCUCAUACAUUAGCUUGUUUUGGGAGGGGAAAAUGGCUGCUCCCUUCAAAGAAAUCCCGGCUUUUGCUGAUGCUAUCUGGCAUUUUCACGGUGUCAUCAUUUUGCAACUCAUUUCGUGAUCCAGGGCAAAUGUGCGUCAGGGCAUUGGGGUUUUGGUAUACCACAGACGUCAUCUGCUUCUCAACUGCCGCUAACUUGAGGAAGUUGUCAAAAAUACAAUUGGUUUCUCCUACAGAGGAAAACACAUGGCUUAGAAAGCAGUGGGAGCUGCCUGUUUUCCUUUUUGGGUGAAGAACAGGAAUUUUCAGAAUUUGGUCAGAAAGUGGUUUGGGCUGUGGGAGAAGUUGGACUUUGAUCCCAGGGAAAAUCAACUUUGAGAUAACAAGCUCUACAAAAACUCCCCAUUUAUUUGGUACAUUCAUUUGUUUUCAACUAUGCAUGUGCACAUAAUGUGAAUGUAACUAUAUAUAUAAAAUGUCUUCCAUCCUUUCCUCUUUGUGACCGUAGCAGGAGGAAGGGCCUUUACAGCAGCCACCAAAGGACUAAGACGUGCGACAGAGGGAACAGCGUGUUCUUCCAGAGCAUGAAGCUUGGCUCUGGUGCUCACUUCAGGUGGUUAUAUGCGUGGCAUAGAUGCCACGAAUGACUCACAGAUGACUGCAGUACUUAAAAUUUCCUACAAGGGGUUGAUCUGAGGUGAACAGAUAGAGGAAGGAGACAUUAUAUGUAGCUCUGUGGACUGGUUCUUCAAGGGUGAUGCAGAAGUCAUUUGCAUGUGAAGUUCUCCCUCUGGCAAAGCUUAGUUUUACAGCAAAAUAUUCUCAGGAAUUCUGUUAUAUUGUGAAAGCCAGAUGAGGGAGGCUGCCUGAAAGCAAUACAAGAUGGCCAGUGUAUCUGGCAAACUAGAAACUUCCUGAUGUAUGUGUGAACAUGACCAAAUACUAUCUAAUGUGCCAAACUGCUCUGAAAGCACAUUUGAAUCAGAAUUAAGUUCAUGCAUCUGGGCCAUCCUGCAGCUGCUUCUACAGGAACGUGUUUGGGUCUAUAGUAGCCUUACUUUCAAGCUUGACCUGUCUUCUGUUGCUUGUAUCUCUUUUGGAGAACUAGAAGACCUUCAAAAGAAACAGCUGUGGUUCUUAUAGUCAUCAGUAGUACUUCCAGCUUGUUUCAGAGAUGCAGCUUGCCCAUUCUCUUUCCGUGCUGCAAUUUGAAAGGUUGAAUGGACUCAAGACAUGCCAAAAUGAUGCACAUUUGGUAUCACUAAAAUUUUCAGCACUUACUGCUUGUCACCAUAAGCAGAGUUGUAACCACACAGGUGCUGCAUCAGAAGAGAGAAAAGCUGGAGCCAAUACUAGUGGAAUCAUUUGACCUGACCUCAAUGGCAAGGGGCAGCCCCAUGACGUGAAGGCUGGAAGUUCCUGUGUCCAAGGGCAAAAGCUUUGGAAAACUCAGAGGGUAAAGUAGCCAUGCGUUUCUCGAGAUCUACAUUCACUUCUACUUUUAGUGGCUUGGACCAAACCUUAAUGUAAGCAACUGCUUUGGCAUGUUGCACUAAAAUUUUAUCUGGAUGGUGUCGCAAUGUCCUUUGGGCUGUGGGAGAAGACAGUGCUUGAAAUAUGCAUGUUUGAGCAAGUUCAACGCAGCUUGCUUUUGCUGGAGCCUGACUUUCUUUCCUGGACAAAGCCAGAGAUUUGUGGAGUCUAAUAAUGUGUCAGCAAACCAACUUGGCAUAUAGAAAUGAGAAGGGCGAGUCCCUGUUCCAGUUGCAUAAAAAUGUCAGAGUGUGUGGGGAGUAGAUGAAGGUAAAAUUAAGGCCUAGUUUAUUUUCUUUCCUUUAAAGUGUAUUGUGUUUCUUGCUGAUGAGAAUGAUUUCAUAAUUACAAGCAUAUGGUGAAAAUGUCUGGGUAUCGGUAGAGAGUUGAGAUCUGAACUCAGGUCUGGUCUAGACUAUAUUCCUGUGGUCGUACAGUAGGUAAAUCUUCUGGCACAAUUUCUUGACUUUUUAACACGAGAAGCACUGCCAGCAUGUGAUGACCCAGAUAGACCAUUGGUGAUCUCAGAGAACAUGGUCUAUUUGCUUUCUAGUUUUGCCGACAUGCUUGGGGUCAGCAUUUUGAGCCAUACCCCGUAGGCAUGUCCUAGACAUUUUCUUCUGACACCAAGGAGAAUUGAUGUAACUACUGGUUUUCAGGAAUGCAAGCUUUAAAACAAAUAAUCAGAAGUUAAAAAACUUGUUGUAAAACUGACAGUUCAUGUUUUACUUGUUAACGUUGUUCCAAAUGUAAAAUUGGAGUGUGCUUUAAAAUCGUUACAGUGCAGUUCCCCAUGAGGCAAAAUGCCUUCAGUCUGCUGGGAAUGACAAACAAUAAUGGCAGAAGGAAAGUCAACAGGGCUAAAAUUAAAAUACUUGUGUUUAUAAUUGCUUUUACCAAGUUCCUGGAAGGCCCCUGUUUCAGAUGCAGGAUCCUGUAGGGUUAGGUGAAAUAGAACAGAGCAUAAUCCCAGUCCCAGAAGGUUUUGAGCUAUGCAGGUCUCUUCCAUUGACCAGACUUCCACUGACACUCUUGGAGACCAUGUUACAGACAUAUCAUUUCUAAUUGAAAAAAAUAAUUUAUAGAUUUUUUUUUCAACAGCAAAUUAUAUUUCUUCCAUCUUGUUAAUGACUGUUGGAUGGACAAUGCAGAAGGAUCCCUUUUGCAGGACAAAAAGGCUACAAAAAUAAUAGAAAUGAACGUCUGCAGCUGAAGAGUUUGGCUGGGACUUGAAAAGUUUGCUUUGGGUACGAGCCAGGUCCUGCUGAGGUCUGCAGGAAUUUUGCUCUUGGCCUCAGUGGGACCAAGCUUUCACCCUUGGAGGCCAUGUCCUGAGGAAGAAUUUAGUCUGAAAUAGUUUUCAAAACUUGUAUUGUUUGACUCACAACCAAGCAUUUUGUUGAGACUGAAUGGCUUUGUAUUUCUGAUUGACUCAUGUUGCUCAUCUUAGCAUCCUGCAGCAGUGAUCUCUCAAGGAAAUCCAAGUGUGAGAGAGGAUUGCAUGUAAGGUUCCUAAACCAAAAGCUUCUUGCAGGUCUUCCCAGGUGUCUGCUUAAGCUGUAUAUUUUUGGGAGGAGAUGUGCCUUGGAGCCCCAGCACAUCAGCACACUGCACUGAAGCUAUGGCUGUGACCUGUGGCAUGACUGGGAUAUGCCCAUCCAGACCCUGGUCAUCUUUGAUAGACCCAUCCCUCCAUUCUGCAUAUGAUUCUGUGAUUCAUGGUGAAACAAAUAUUUGAAGGAAGAACAGAGAACUAGUAAAGUGUUUUGAUUUAUACCUCACAUGUAUGCCCUUCCUUAUUACCCCCUUGGUCAUUUUUCCUGUAGACCUCAGAGACCACAUUGAAAAUAACCACUAUCAAAGUGAGGUUUGUGCCAUUCUUCUUCUUCUUCUGAUUAGAGCUAGGAUAACACAUUCAAAUAAUAAGUCUGAAGCUGGGCAUGGGUGGGACAACACUACUGUACUCUUAACACUGCAUGUUCUAGGCAGAUUUAACAUGCAGGUCUUGCAUUGUUGGACUGCACAAGUGUAGUAAUGUUGGAUUUUACUGCUCUAUAUCAACUUGUGAUGAAACGUGGUGACAUCAGCGGAGACAAAGGCCCAUUUCGUAUAAAGCUUGCAGAAACACCAAGUGCUUGUUUGGCCAUUCAGAACACGGAGCUGGGGAAAACAACUUGCUCAGUUCACAGCCCUGAAUCCUCUGGAGAUGCGUGGCUGGGUUAUUUCCUUGAUAUUCUGUGAUAUUAUGACCUGUUCUAAUAGCACAGGAUCAUAGAACUGUAGGAGUUGGAAGGGAGGAUUAUUGAGUUCCAGCCCCUGCUAAAGCAGAUUCCAUACAGGAGGUUGCACAGAACAGUAUCCAGACCCAAAGAAGGAGACUCCACAACCUCUGUGGUCAGCCUGUCACAUUUAAGCAGUUUAUAGUUAUCAUGAUUUAAGAUUUUCCUCCCAAAGUCAAUUGGUUUCACAGUAGACCCCAACAAAUCAGUAUUUUUGUUUUGCUGAAAUGGAGUGUGAUAUCAUUUUAAUGGCUCCUUUCUGAAAACCUUGAAAGCUGCUUAAGAAACAGAUUCACAGUGUAUGGGCUCGAAAACUAUCCCAUUCUGGUGCACUUGAAGUUGUCGAGCACAGAGUGCAUAAUUUAGAAUUGAAAAGAAAAAGAUGUAUCUGUGAAUUAAGGACUGCAAUACAGGAGCUAUCAACCACCAAGAGGCUCUUUUAACCUCAGCAGAGCUGUGCUCUUUAAUGUGUUUUUGUGGGGAAGAAGAAUAAAAAGGAAAUCUGAGAAAACUGAUCUUUAUUUUUAGAAAAAUAAUUUCUUUUUGCUAAGGAGGACUUUUUAUUUUCUGUGCUCUAAAUAAAGCAGUGAUAUGGUCCUGUUGUGCCUCAGGCUAUCCGCUUAAAAGAAAAGGCUCCAAAGAUGGACCAUCUGGAAGCCUGUGCAAGAGCACGCCAGUGCUGUUUGAUGUGGAAGAGCAUCCUUUGGAUGUAUUUUUGCACACUGCUCAAUCCGCUGAAGUUUUUUUUGUGUGUGUUGAGCUGAUGGGAACAUCUCAGAGGAUUUUGCUUCAUGUGUUAAUGCUGCUUGCUUCUUUUUUCAUUAAAUGAAAGCUGGGAAGCAGUGUUUCUCUCUAGAAGCACUUUCGAGAUCUGCAGGUGAUCACAACGCAAAGGGAGUCAGUUGCACAUUCUUGGCCAGAUCUGCUCUUUCCAGGGCACAACAAGAACUUCCUCCUCUUCCCAUUUUUUUCUGGGAUGCCUGGGAUCUCCUUGGUUCCUGCGAGGCCAAAAAAGUUCUCUGUUUUGUUGUUGUGGUGGUGUUUUUUUGUUCAGGACUUUGCCUGAUGUACUUUGUUUCAGUGCUGCAUCUGAGAUGAGGAGAAAUUCACCCCUGGUUCUGGGAUAAGGGGUUCACCCCCACCCCAUGCAGUGUUUCUCUGAGCUUAUGUUCUCAGAUGUUCAAGUCCCAUCCCUGCACAUACCGGUGCCCUUUUGGCUCAACCUGCACAUCUGACAGCCUAUGCACUUUGCCCUCCCAUUAAGAGGCUACUCGUGUAAGGAAUUAGGGUCUUGUAGUUACAAGCUUUUGCAGGGAAACAAAACCACUCUUUUCUUUAGAUGAAUGUUGGACAACUCUUUUUUGUUUGUUUGUUUUGAUGGAAACUUGUGAAAUAAGCAAGAUCAACUCCACCUCCUAAAAUGAGCUCUCAGUGUUUCGUGCCGCCUCCAAGAGAUUACUUUUUAUUUUGGGGGGGGAGGGUCAGGGAUGUGGGCCAAAGUGGGACGUUUGCAAGCUGGUGAAUCUUCUGAAAAGGACAAGUGUAGGCACUUUGUCUCCUCUCAGCAUGGCCAGCGUGGAAAGCAGUGAAGGACUAAAGGACAUCGCAGUGUCGUGGACAUUCGUGCCACUAACUGCUGUUGCUUUCACCAGCCAUAUGUACAGCUGCGUUCUUUUUAUAGUGCUGCAUAUGGCACUAUCGUAAUUGAAUUUUUCUUAAUAAUUGAUCUGACCUGUAUCAUUCUGUUCAUUUUAGGAGAGCUAAUUCAAGCAGAUUGAGAUUAGGACUAAAAAUAUGGUUUGGUUAGCGGAGGAACCAUAAAGAGCGCGACUUCACAGUAAUGAUGACACACAAUCUGUUUUACCCAGAUAGGCUCAUACUAUUUAUAUGUAGCACACUGUCAAGGCUGGUGCCUUGUCUGCCUUGCAGUAGCUGCGAUACAUGGAGUAGUGGCAGUCCUGUGCUGAAGAGCACUCUAAUUCCAUGUUUUGGGACCUUCCCACCUUAUCACUUCCUCUAGCAAGGCUGUGGGGUCCAAGAUUGCAGCUGAUGGCCCUGUCUCUGUUGUAGUAACUCUCCAACUUGCCCAUCCAUGUGAGGAAUUGAAUCUGCACUGUCCCAGCCCUGGGCAGGGGAAAUGCGAAUCUCUAGCAUGGUGAGCUUAGCUUCUCACAGCAAGCUAUGGAAAUAGCAAUGAAAUUGGAAUAGGUGAGCUGGAUCCUGCCUCAUGUUUAGAAAUGAAAACCCUAGGGUAGUCUCUGAAUUGCCCUUUGCUGAAAAGGAUUUUGGCUGUUUGGUUCAGACUCCCGAAUGUAGGAACGGCGGAGGUGGGACUGCAGACAACUAAGAAAGUUAGAAACGGCCCAUACGAUUAGGAUGCUGCAAAACGAGUGGCAGCUCUUUCUCUCCCAGAGCUCUCGGCUGCAGCUGAGUAUCUGGACCAGACGUUAUUUUUGGCAAGAGGAAAAAAUACAUCUCCCUUGAUACUGUGCAAAAAAAAUGAAAGUAAAUGUUGAGACAUACACGAGGGCAAGGAUCUCCUCUGUUGUGUGGCAGCAGUGCUUUUAGAACUGAAAUCCACUUGCUUUGAUCACUGAUUAAAAAAAAUGGACAUAAAAGGGAUUUAUUGUGAAAUAAUGGAUUUGAUCCCCAGUAAUCCUUUCUUUGGGAUUAGACUUGGAAUAUUAUUUUUGUGAUCUGUGGAAUUAGACCAUGCUGGCAUGACAGACCAAAGCACGUGAGUUUAACUGCAGGAUGAGGCUGAGCUGCAAACAGAGUGAAUUACUUGCACAGAACAAAGCAGCUGAUAAAUCUACAGCUCUGUAUUUAAUGACGCAAGAUCCACAUGCAAGCAUAGAAACAGAAAAAAAAAAUCCUAAACUGAAGGCAGGAAAGACCCCUUCUUCCCAGCUGACACUGCAGAGAAACACUGUGAUCACAGAAUCAUUGAAUCAUAGAAUGGCUUGGGUUGGAAGGGACCUCAAGGAUCACCGAACUCCAACCCCUGUACCAUAGGCGAGGUUGCCAACUGCGUGAUCUCUGUGGACUGCUGGCUAGAGCUUCUGGUUUGAGUAUUUUCUGCCACAAGAACUACAAUUUGUAGCUGCUCCCAAUGGAAUGACUGAGGGACUUAGAAUGUCGGUGCAAACUCGGUGCAGGUCUUCAUGUAUGGCCACAAUACUUCCCAGUGAGAUUUGGCAAGCCCCAGGCUCGCUGCCCAAACAGUGCCUGCGUGCACAGCUCCUUGGUCUCCCAGCACACUGCUGAUUUGGCCUGAUGUGUGCUGAGAAGUCCUCCUGAGUGGUUCGUUAUGGGUAUAUUAUAACAAAAUAGGUACAAAAUGUGCUAUGAAUCCCUGGUAUGUAACUUUGAAGUCCCAAACCUUUCACAAAAAGCAACUGCAAGGAACUCCUCUCACUUCUCCUGCCAGAUUUUGACUCUGAACUCAAAGUGGGGCUGGAGAUGGCUUUUAAAACAGAGGGAGAGUUCCUUUGUGUUGUGCUCUGAAUCAGCUGAUCUUCAAAACAAAACAAAACAAAACACAAAAGCUGUGGGACAGAGAGCAAGCGAAGGAAAGGUAAAAUAUCCCCUGCCAGACCCAUUCCUGCUUUCGCUGCUGGACUCACAGCCACACUUCUGUUUGCAAAGGUCACUCCUGCAGCAGGACAUGGCCCAGGCUCCUGCCUUGCACAGCCGUGGGAGCUGCUGGGCACAUCAGCACCCCUAAGCAUAACCCAGGUCUGCUUCUAGUAGGCUUGCUAUUUCAGUCCUUUGAGGACUCUGCUUUUUCCUCAGGGCUUGCUAACCCACAAAGCUGCCUGCUCUGCCUUGAGAGCUGCUGGUGCAGGACUGCUGCUCCGGCUUGGGACAUUCAUAGAGCACUGGGAUUCCCAUUAAAUCUUCUGCUACUAGCAUAGGUUUCCCUAUAAAAAAAAACUGCAGUACAUCUUGAAACUGGGCAAGCCACACCAUGCAAACUCUUGGGAAGAAGCUGGUUACAACAGCCCAUGUUCCAAGUCUCAUGAUUCCUUCGUAGGAUAAAAACGUGUUAAUUAUCUCCAUUUUUUGAUUUAGAGGGAGGGAGUUGCUUUUCCUCACAGCAAUGUAUAUCGAAGGGUUACAAGUGGUGCACGAGGAGUUUGUAAUAAAUCCUGCUUGGCGGUUAUUCAGAAGGUUUCCUUGAGUACACUGUGUCUGAUUAUUGCAGCUGACAGCCCUGUACACGGCGUACAGCAGACAUCACCUGGCACAGCACCACUGUACGCCACCUGGCAAAACUGGGGCAAAACUCAGAGGCAGCCAUGAGAGUUUUCUGCCACAAUUUGUGCUGAAUAUUCCCUCACCCUACCCCAUUCCCUGAUCCUUACUCCCUACCUCACGCACAUGCUCUUGGAUGAAGUGCACCCAAUUUUUGCGCACAGUGCAAAUCUGGUAGGAGCGGCUGACAUCAGCUGUGUCAGUCCAGAGGGACCUCGAGAAAUGUGGAGAUUCAGCCAACAGAAACUUCCUGAAGUUCAGCAGUGAGACGUGCAAUGUCCUUCAUGGGGAGCAGGAAAUCCUCAUGCAUAGAUCCAGGCUGAAAGCAGCCGGCUGAGAGGCCUCAGUGGAAGGGGCGCAGGGUACGCAGUGGGUGCUGAGUUCAAUGUGAGCCAACGUGUGCUGUCACAUGCAGAACAUCCCAUCUGGGGCUACUUGGGAGCAGCAGAGACCAGAGGAAUUUGUCAUCUCCUCUACUCAGGUCACAGCUGGAUACCUACAGGUGUGCAGCACCACAGAGGACAUGAUGGUGUUUGGAGUAGAUCCGUGGAGCAUUCUGCCACAAGGCACCAAAGGUGCAAAGCUUCCUUGGGCUCAAAGGGAUUUGGAAUGAAACCACUGAAGACAGAUCUUCUGGGAAUACAUCCUUGGGAAAAUUCAUGCAUUCAAAUUCAUACUGAUACACCCUCUAAUUGGGUGAUAGGCUCGAGCUGCAAAUUGCCUGUUAGAGCUUUCUGGGGUGGGAGAUCUACAGGUUUGUUCUUCAGUAAUAAGUGCACAUUAGUAGCCCCUGCUGAAAGCAUGAUAUGGAUGCAGGUUUGAUCUGUAGAAAUUUCCUUUUUCUUCAGCAUCUUCCUGGGAAGUUCUACUUCAGUGACGAGGGUGGAAGAUGUAUGGAAACCUGCAAGUUUGGAGAAAACUCAAUUGGAAGUGAAGGCUUUGGAUAGUUCACAGGAAAAAAUGGGAUAGAGUUUUGCCCUGUGCCCUGAGUUCACACUCAGCAGGACUGUGAAAAUAUAGCUGCUUUGGAAAUCCCUCACCUUGGAGUCUCUCCAAAGAGAGGACUCUAACUUGGUGGCUAUGGCUGUGUCACCCUUCUGUCUGUGUCUUUGAGCUGGCUUUGUUGCUUAUUCUCUCUGCAAGCUGAGAUAGGAAGUGAAGCUCCAAGAUGAUAGCCCCAGGAGCAGGCAAAGCAGGGAAACCUUCUUUAGAGGGAUGAUGUUCCAUACAGAAACACACAGCUCUCUUCCGGGUGAUCUUAUCUUGCUUUCACAGUCAUUUCAGAUGUUUUGGGAGCAGUUGAGCAAGACAUGGUCAUGGGAUGCUGGAUACAGUACAUCUAUUGGAGGGGUUGAUCUACACAUAGAGAUGAUUUUUCUUUUUCCCAAAAUGGACCCGUUGUUCUACAAAAUUUGCUUCCUAAACUUAGCAGGAGAGCACCAAUGCCCUUUGAAUUAGUGUGGUUGGAGGAAAGUGUCUAGGAGAAGUCUCAGAUUGGCUGCAAUCAGCAAGAGAAGCGCAUGAUGAUUUUACUGGGAAGUCUCCAUUAUUGCAGUCUUGCUGUGCAGAUCUUUCAGCUGUGAAAAUACAAGAAUUUGCUUUGGAGAUGUGAGCCAUAACUCUGCAAGAUGAUCUUGUGACCAGAGGUGGGAGAACCAGUAGCAGGGAAUUCUGUCUGCAGGUCUUGGAUGGAGGUCACAGAGGAGGAGCACUGGUUGCUUCCACGCCCAUCAACCCUCUUUUUUAGUGGUGAAUGAUAGUUCUCAGAGUUAACAGCUUAUUUAUUUAGUGAAUUCUUGUUUUUGAAAAAAGCGAAGUAAUGGGAGGAGGAAGCAAACCACAAAUACUUCCUUUCAAAUGUCUGUGUUAUCAAAUAUUUGGAAGUUUGGAGUCUGAUAGUAAGGUCUGAAUCCAUAUUCUUCUAUUAGCAACCACAGCUUGACAAAUGAAUCCACAUGCAAGGCAUUCUGUAGCUGGGCAGUGUGGUCAAACUCCUCUUCUGCACCAGCUUUUUUCAACCCCUAUUUCAUUUCUAGAAUUAAACUCUGAUCCAAAAAUGCCUAUUAACAGAGUACUGAUGCUUGAGAAUGCUGAUGGUGUUGAUGAGUUGGUGGCAUACCUGCAUUAGGGAUCUGUGCCAAAUGUAAGUUACAUCUGUAAUAACAGUUUUGCAGCUCGUGGUUUGGGAUGUCUGGAAUAAAGACCACACAACAUCUGUUUGCUUCCAAGGAAGUGACUCUUCAUAGGCAAUAAAAACACACCUUUGCCUUGAAUUCAAGCAGUACUAAUAGAGGAAACAGUCGUCUGCUGGGGAGGCUGUGAAUUUUGGUGGUGAACUUCCAGCUUGCCAGCCUGGCAUCCCACUUUUCUGGCACAGCUCAUCAUAAACUUGUUUUCCUAGGGAUUUCCACACCAUCAUGACCUUUGCAUGAAGCCAAAGGACACCACAAUUAGAGAUUCUGGUGUUUGCCGAUCAUGGUAUGCUUUUUUUUUUUUGAGCAUGUUUUCUGAAUACCUGUGCAUGUCAUUUUUGAGUGGCUGGGAAGAGGGUAGCCAAGGUCAAGAGGCAAAGCAAAUGUCCCAAUGCUAAAGCCCCUUAGCCCACUGGUGUGCACAGUUCUUCCCUGUGUGUAGAACAUAGAGAGGAAGCUCUCUUUUGUACUUCAUACAGAAUAUCCAGCCACUGACAGCGUGCACAGGCGGAAUUCUCCAAGUUCCCUUUAGAAGCCAGGUUUCUCAUUGCAAGCAUGCCUAAGAAUGAGCAUGUGGAAUACCUGAGAAAAAUGGGGAAGACCCUAGGUAUGAAUGAUGCAAAUAUAAAAGACCAUAGAAACUAUAGAAACUAUAGAAAAUCAGAAUCUUGAAAAACACACUCUAUUGUUGAGAAAAGCUCUGCAAAGAGAUCUCUGUCUCAAUGAUAGUGUUUUCCUGAAACCUAAGGGCAUUUCUCCUGCUUUGUUUCAUAGCAUUAUGCUUUAAAAUUAAAAUUAAAAUUAAAAUGCUAUUUAGCUUAGCUUGUCACUGCAUACAGCAAGCUUUGAGCAAGAGAAUUGCAUUUCAGGCCUGUAGUAUAAGAGGCAAACAAGUCUGGAAAUCUGGAUCAUAUAUCCUGCCAUUGCACCUGCUGCUAAUACUUACAAUAGCAGAGGUAAUUAAAUAAAUUCCUUUCUGCCACCUCUGUUUCUGCUCCGCGGGGUCAGUAAAGGACUCAUCUAAUGCAAUGAUACUCAUUUCAUUUUGCUAUCAUUUCCUAACUCCAGGCAGCAAAAGGGCAGCAAAAAAGACAUCAAAAGGACAUCCAUGAGGAGCUGCCCAAGACAUGUGCUUUUGAUUGCUUGUUUUUUCUUGGAAGUAAAGGAGAAUGCCCCUUUCCAUCAAUGGAGCCAGUGUUCCCCAGUUGCUGUUUACAGGGUUUUCACCUCAUGCACGGGGUUGCCUCUGGUUAUACUCAUGCAAAUCUCUCUGUGCCACUUCAGCAACACCCUCUGCACCAGCUGUGAUCAGUGCUCAGGGUGGUAUCUCAGUUGUGCUUUGCUGUUUGUCAGCCAUGCUCAGUGUGGUUAGCUGCACAGAAGCUCAGUGUUCUCUCUAAUUUACCGUUUAUCACAAGAAAGAUUUCAAGUACUUCCAGAUAAUUGUGGUUUCUGCCAGUCUAGGUGGUGUUUCAGCCAAAUGCGUUGCAGAGAAAGACACUGUAUUUUGAAACUUUCUCACUUGUCUUCUCAAUUGCGGUUCUCAGAAACUCCUUUUGAUCACUUCCCUUGCCCUGCCUAACAGAUGUAGUGCUAACUGCUGCGCUUUGUGAGUUGCAAUUGAUUGCUGCUGGACUUGAAGUCUCCUGUUUCUACCCUGAGUUUUUCUCUUUAUUUUUCCUGUAGUCUGCUUAAGCAUAUACUGAUAGAUGCUUCACUUAACUCUGACCAUCUUCUGACUGCUCUACUUUCUUUGUGGCUCCCUGGUGUUCAUCUGUUUUUUUUUUUUUUUUCUCAAGUCUUAAGUUGGUCUUGAAAGAGUCGUAUACACACACUUGGCUGACCUGCAGCCACAUUCGCAACCUCUCUGCUGCCCAAGCAGUUAAAAAUAAACUCAACACACCCCAAACACCCAAGAAAGUUGACUGAGUUCUUCUAGGGCCUGUUCUAGCUUAGGAAUUCUUGGUGUAAAAGGAUGCCUUCAAGACACUGGUAUGACCCCUUGGGGCUGUGUUUUUGUUUCCACACCAUGCUCAUUGUGUUUGUAGUUCACAUUUUUUUCCCUUCCUGUAGAGAACAGAGGAGGUGCUGAAUUGUGCUUCAACCAAGCGGUCAUUGACUUCUCUUUUUCUAGAAGCAAUGUACACCGUGUUAUCAGUUCAGGCAGUUGCUUUUGUUUACUAUAGAUUUAGUCCCAAAGAGUUCCCUGGUGAAUAUGUACCUUACGUGAGAGCCUGAGUCAAUGUUCAAGAGAGAAAGAGACUCUGGAGUGUCUUUGAGCCACUUGCUUUCCAUGACAGAAAUGAGCCAGCUGAGGUUUGUCUCUCUUUGCAUCAAUCAGAUUCUUCUUCCCUUGUUAACUGCAUUUACUGCAUGCUUGUCCUGCUGAACAUCCAACCUGUAGAAGAUUUGGUGGAGAGGUUAGUGGGAAGGAGAUGCUCAACUUGAGAAAGAC